UCAAGUUCUCCCGAGUGCGUGGCAAGCAGUUUGCCUACUAAGGCAACUCUCCAGUAUGUUGAGGUUUUAAAUCAGCCAAUGUAUGUUGUUUUUUUGAUACCAGCCACCAUGUUAAACAAUGGUCUUUCCUCAGAAAUGAAUUAAUUCAGGUGGUUGGAGCAUGCAUCACAAUAAUGAUCUGUAUUUAAAAAAAAAACACCGAAAUUAAAGCUGUAAUUUUUGUAGUUGAGUAUUAUCGGUCAAGCAAAUAACACAGUUAGUUGAUUCUGAUCAGGUUAGUAAGGUUGAUAAAUUUUAUCUUACAAAAUAAUGACUGAUGAUGAAUGUGAAAAUGGGCGCCAGGUGAACUGAAGAAGGAGGGGAAGGUGUGCAUUACAAAGGAAGUCUCAGAAGACCUUUUCAACCCCAGGAACAAAUGCACCACACCAGAACAAGCCAGCAUCACCUUAAUGCCAAGAAUAAAGGGCUCCACUUCCAAGAUGAAGUUAGAUAAAAUCAGGAGAUGGAAAUGCUGUGCCUCAGAGGGUUUCAGAAUUUACUUCAAGGUCAAGGGAACUACACUGAAAAGGUUUAAAUAUGGGGGUGACACAAUCAAACUUAUACAGAAAAAAACAUUCACUGUGCUAUAGAAAUUAGGUUUGUAGCCACAAAGAUGGGUGCAUUCAGAGCGAAGCAGUUAGGGGGCUAUUGUAGCUUAGGCUAGAGGUGACGAAUUCGCACUGGAGUAGUUGCUAUGGUUAUGUAGUUACCAUGGUUAUAAAGAGAAAAUAGACUUGAGAAGCAUUCAGAUGAAAUGAAAACAUCUUGGCAAUGUAUUUUAUAAGACUGUGGAUGUGAGAUUCAAACUGCUUCAAGUUCCUCAACUUCUCCACAAGCACAGACUGUAACCGGGAAUGGUCAGCCAAAUAAACCUUUCACUUCUACGUUCCUUUCAUAGACAGGAUUUAUCACAGCAACAGGAAGCUGGACAAAGACAGGACUUGAGUUAAAAGAUUAGUGGCUUCCCCCUUAUGCAUAAGGGGAUGGAAUAAUCCUUCGUUUGCUCCAGCGUUUGCCGAAAUUCUGCUCGGGAGAAAAACAAGCCUCAGUCAUGUGGAGAUUGGAGCACUGGAGGAGAUUCCAGGGUGCCUGAUGAUUAACAAAUCCACCUGAAAUGAUGAACGCCAGACUCAGGGAGAGACUGUGUCUAAAAUAAAAUAAGGUAGAGAAUGAUGAAGCCGGAUGCUGAUCUCCGCUUUCUACUCGCGCAGACACAGAUUAUGCCGAUGACUGCCUCUGCGAGGAAGACUGGUGAAUACUCUGUGUCUUCCUAGAAAAUGAUGAAGAAGCUUUAAGACAACAUUAGUCAUGGUCCUGGAGGACUUCAGAUCAUUCAUUUGUGCUGUUCUUUCCUGUUGUUCUUCUUCUGAACACCGGUGGAUCUCAUGUGUGGAAUGGGCUUGAUCCCUGAGAGUGCCACUGCCGUAUCUAUGAAGCACUGAAGGAAAUUGCAACAGAUUCUUUUUUUUUUAAUUUAAGUCUUUAUUUCUGAACAGAUUCUUAAUAAUUUAAAGAGAGAAGUUUCACGCUCUGGAGAGAAUGAAGAUUUUCACAGUGUAUUAGAGAAAUUGGUCAGGAUCAGAAAUCCUUGAUGAUUUAUACAUGUGUGAGAGGAGCACAUUGUAUGGCUUGGAGUAGGUGAGAGCAGAAGACUUCCUAUUUGAGGAAGUUCCUGGGAUUUAGAGUUCCUCCGUAUUUAGACUCUCAGAAACAAAACGAAAGUCGGUGAGAAUAUUGAGAUUUUUUUCUUGAUUAUAUGGAAAAUAUCUUUUGAAAUUAUUUAAAAUCUUCACCAAAGAGAUCCAUAUGUCUGUCAAGAUCUCAUGUGCUCACCAUGGAAAACUGUAGAAUGAGAUGGGACCCAUCAUUUGGGCCAUGAUGUAAGUUUCUACUAGUCUUGGGCUGUAGGUGGGAUAUAUGGAGAAGCAUUAUGACAUCAAGCACAAAGAAGAACAAAUUGGCACUCUUAGAAGAAGUGUCUUAAAGCAUUUGUUUAAAAGGCUUGGUAGUUGUUGGGCUUGGAAGUUUAUACCUUUUAUCCCAUCACUCCAAGGCAAAGAUAGAUAAAAGUCUGUGAGCCCCAGCUCUGCUUGGUAUAAAUAGAUAGUUCCUGGCCCACCAAGGCUGCAUAUUAAGAUAAUUUCAACAACAACAACAACAACAAAAACAACAACAACAACAAAGAAGACAUCCAUAUCGCCUCCCCCAAUACUCUUAUAAGCAACUACUAAAGAGUUAGAAUGUGUAUCGUGUUUUCUUUGUUAUAUCAUUAUAUUAUCAGUGCCCUAACAGGAAUCUAUUCAGAUAUUCACACAUCCCCAGGAAAAGUCAGUAAACUUCUCUAGUCAAAUAUAGGUAGGAAAGGGGGUUGGGCAAGUUGAGGGUUAUGUUGGAGUAACUUAGUACAGAAUAGAAGUGGAAUUGAGAAAAACAAUGGUGGGUCAGAGAAACAACAACACUUAAUCAGUGUGAACAAAAACAUAUUUUGAAAUCUGGUUAUUUUUAAUAAUUGAGUAUACUCCAUUGUGUAAAUGUACCACAUUUUCUGUAUCCAUUCCUCUGUUGAGGGGCAUCUGGGUCCUUUUCAGCCUCUGGCUAUUAUAUUUCUGGCUGCUAUGAACAUAGUGGAGCAUGUGUCUUUGUUGUAUGUUGGAGCAUCUUUUGGGUAUAUGCCCAGGAGUGGUAUAGCUUGAUCCUCAGGUAGUGUACUAUGUCCAAUUUUCUGAGGAACCAACAGACUGAUUUCCAGUGGUUGUACCAGCUUGCAAUCCAACCAACAAUGGAGGAGUGUUCCUCUUUCUCCACAUCCUCGCUAGCAUCUGUUGUCACCUGAGUUUUUUAUCUUAGCCAUUCUGACUGGUGUGAGGUAGAAUCUCAGAGUUGCUUUGAUUUGCAAUUCCCUGAUGACUAAGGAUGUUGAACAUUUCUUUGGGUGCUUCUCAACCUGUGAAGGCUUGAUGCCCCGGUAGGGGAAUGCCAGGGCGGGGAGGUGGGAGGGAGUAAGUAGGAGGGUGUGAAAGCACCCUCAUAGAAGCAGGGAGAGGGUGGAUGGGAUAGGGGUUUUCUGGAGGGUAAACCAGGAAAGGGAAUAACAUUUGAAAUGUAAAGGAAGAAAAUAUUCAAUAAAAGAAAUGAAAAAA
rnacentral:sRNA from 1 species